rnacentral:lncRNA from 1 species
AUAUUUUAUGAAGAUUUUUAUUAAAAAUAGUACUCAUAAUUAGCAAAUAUUGUGGUAAAUUGAUCAUUUUCUUGGUCAAAACUACAUUUUCGGUGCUAAAGGUGCUAGUAAGCUUGCGAAACUAAAAUUAAUAUGAAUAUGUAAGAAUAUCAGCGAUCUACGAACAUCUGUUCGACGGCUGUUGAAUGCAUGUCUAUAUCAUGUAGAAUGUAACAGCAGAUAUUGUGCUUGAUUUGCUUAGCUUGUUUUGGCUUAUUUGGCUAUUUUCGACAUCACUGUUUAAAACUGGUUGCCUCUGAAUGUCAGUUUAUCUCUCUCCCUCUCUUUGUUAAUCUCGCCACGCUAUUUUAAAGCAACACGUUCCCUCUCCCCUCUCUCCAAGUACUUUCGUCUCUUUCUUCGCGAUCGUUGUUGCUUUUUUCUGACAAACAACGCGUUGGACGAUGAUAAACAGAGGCGAGUGGAAAACUACCAGGGAAUUUACGAUGGAAGCAAUUGUUUUUGCGUCUUAGAUUUCACUCUGAAAUGGAAGAAUUUUCCACUAAACGGAAAGACUGGGCUGGUUGCAACUCAGAUGCACCAAGAAGUCUCCUCCAAAUGACCUUCGACUGGCUGUGGUCUGGCGGUAUCCAUUGCCGUUGUCGAUACCACAUAUCCAGCUAUGCAUCCAUGCUACAGAUUCCCUUUUCCGAAGGUUUGUAGGUUUCCAUUUCACUUGUCCAGCUGUGGAACAGUCUGUUUUCUUCGGAACCUUAAGAGGCAGUGCUCUGUCUGGACAAAACUCAAAUGCUUCUAUCCGUGAACACCAAAUGGAGAGCACUCUUCUUCUGGUAUGGAGGAUUUCCCUGAGGUUCACCCACACAGCCACACAAAUUGACUCUCUCUUGUGCAGAAAC